UUAGAAAUAUAAAUUGUGGCUCGCGUUUGCAUCUCAUUUGCUGGCUAUGGAAAACUCAGUUUGUGAGCUCAGAUUUCCUUUUGGUGAAUUUUUUCCUGCAGACCUGGUGUAAGGUGGGGGAGAAGCAAUGAGAGACGUCGCACCUAAACAAUGCCGGUGAGAUGCCCUCUCCCUCGGUGUGAAUCCUGAGCAGAAGGUCCUGAAAACCAUGAACAGCUGGAGCGGCUCUCCACCCCCAGGGCAGUGUGCUGACCACCCAGUUCCUGGCACAGAGCGGUGGUGGGAUCCUACUGCCCAACCUCUGGGGCAAUUUGAAUUCUCCCAAACCAGGUCUUCCUUCCAGUUUCUGUCAAUUCUAUGAAAUUCCUUUUCGCCCCCAAAUUGCCUUCCACUCCAUUGGUUCUCGUGCAUUACCCAGAGCACUUUUCUAAUGUUUGCAUCUAAAGAAUCCUGAUGACAAGUUUUCGCUCCUGACUUCCGGUUCAGCUCACCUCCGUCUCUCCAAGUACCCUUUCCUUGUGUGGUCUGGAGCUGUGUCCACAUGGACACUUGAAUUCUACGCCACGGUUCAACUUGACCUCACUGUUUCGGCUCCCCCGACUAUCAUCUGUCUGUCUCACUGUUGUCAGGAGGCUCCCGGGCUUCAGGCUUGAGUUCUAAUUGACAAAGCCAGCCCCACCCUGCCAAAGCUUUGUACUUCCGUGCAGCUGCUCCUGUCACCAAGCAGCCCUACCUCAGCUGAAGGCUGAAACCCUGCCAACGGCAGACCUGACUCUUUGGACUGUGACUCAAUGCUUUGUGCUCUGCCAGCUUGGGUGACCUGAUCUAACUGAGAACAAAUUUCAACCAAAUGCCAAUAGUCCUGCUUUCUAGAAGUUACUUUAACUUAAGUUAGUGUAUAGCUGUCCAUUUGUAUCCAUGAUAAAAGAGCCCAUAUAAUCUGGUAUCCCAUUUUCUUUAUAUAUAUAUAUGCAUAAAACCUCUGCUUUUCUGAUCUUCUUGACCCAUAUGCACAAAGAGAAGUCAACUUGAUCCCUUCACAAUGGAAUACAUUCUGGGUUCUAAAGUUACUGUCGCUAUCUGGGUACCUGGUGAUAGAGCAGUGCUUGUUUCGACAAGCGGCCUAAUCAACUCAGAAUAGUAAAGAUAAUUCAGUCGUGGAGUGUUGGGGCUUCAAACCACAGCUGCUGUUCUCAGCUUCCUGCUACAUGUCUUUCAACCAGACAUUAAUAUCUCACUAAGACUCCAUCAGUCGUGUCGAGCAGCCUGCUCUGAUGGAGUCAGAGCCAAGGUCCCAAAAAAGAAUCUGACUUUAGGAUUCAUUUCCUCAUAUUAGAAAAUCCAGUUGCAUAUGAUUAAAUGACAACCAUCAGUAAACGUUAAACUCAGCAGGCGAACACAUUACCCAAAGCAAUAAAAAUAAUUACGUGGCAGAUACUAGGAUUGUGAUUGAGAAAUAAAGGGAAGCAAUGAUGAUUUUAUUCUGCACACACAAAAUAAUUCUUUGGGAUUUUGUU